rnacentral:lncRNA from 1 species
GAUUUUAGGCGGAAUCUUAUCUUACUUAGCAGACUGGAUUCGAGAGGCUAUAGGAUGGUAGCUGGUGGAGAAAUCCUGAGGGUACUACUGGUGAUAGGAUUGUGCUGGAGGGGAAGAAGGGAAGCAGGGGACAUUAUUACCUGACAGGGAGCCCAGUGCGAGGUGGAGCUUCGGGAGCUAGGUGGAGCCCAGAGUGAGGUGGAGCUCCAGAUGGAGGUGGAUCGGGCAUGAGACAGGAGACUCGAGAGGACGAGAGGCGACGUUGUAAGGUGAGAUUUCUAUUGCCGCAGGAUGAUGCCCUGAGUAGA